rnacentral:rRNA from 1 species
AGAGUUUGAUCCUGGCUCAGAAUCAACGCUGGCGGCGUGCCUAACACAUGCAAGUCGAACGAGAAAAUCUCCUUCGGGAGAUAAGUACAGUGGCGAACGGGUGAGUAACGCGUGGGUAACCUGCCCUUGGAAGGGGGAUAACACGAGGAAACUGGUGCUAAUACCGCAUACGCCUGUUGUGAGAGAUUGCAACAGGGAAAGUCCUUCGGGAUGUCCAAGGAGGGGCCCGCGUCCGAUUAGCUAGUUGGUGGAGUAAAGGUUUACCAAGGCGACAAUCGGUAACCGGUCUGAGAGGACGGACGGUCACACUGGGACUGAGACACGGCCCAGACUCCUACGGGAGGCAGCAGUGGGGAAUUUUGCGCAAUGGGGGAAACCCUGACGCAGCAACGCCGCGUGAAGGAAGAAGGCUUUCGAGUUGUAAACUUCUGUUUCGGGGGACGAAGAAGUGACGGUACUCCGGCAGCAAGCCCCGGCUAACUCCGUGCCAGCAGCCGCGGUAAUACGGGGGGGGCAAGCGUUGUUCGGAGUUACUGGGCGUAAAGGGCGCGUAGGCGGUCCGAGAAGUUUCGGGUGAAAGCCCCGGGCUCAACCCGGGAAGGUCCCGGAAAACCAUCGGACUUGAGUGCUGGAGAGGCAAGCGGAAUUUCUGGUGUAGCGG